rnacentral:misc_RNA from 1 species
GGCUGUCAAAAAAACAACUUUUUGUAGUAAAGAAUCCUGUUGCCGGAAAUAUACAACUCAUUGUCCACAAAUAAAAGAUAAACAUGGUAUUUACAUGGACAAAUCUUCUUUAAUCUUGAUGCUGCUAUCUGAAAACAAGGCUUCCAUUCUGUUGAAGCCUUAGAUUUUCCAUGAGUGACUGGUAGAAUGAUUUCAAUGCUUUGAAAUCACUACCCUGCAACUUUUGGCAGUAUUGCUGUGCCAAAUCUUGAGGGCAAUGUGCGGAUGGAAAGCCUUUUGACACAAAAUGAAGGAGAAAUUCAUCACCAAACUUCUCAUACAUGACCUUCUGUGCCUGUACAAUUUCUCCAAACAAAACAAGCUUUUCUUCCCCACGAGGUUUGUCAUACCAAUCUUUAAUUAAUCUAAUGAAUAUCUGCACACAUGCCUUUCUUACAAGGAUAUCCUUGUGACUACAAG